GGCGAACGCUGGCGGCGUGCUUAACACAUGCAAGUCGAACGGAAAGGCCCUGCUUUUGUGGGGUGCUCGAGUGGCGAACGGGUGAGUAACACGUGAGUAACCUGCCCUUGACUUUGGGAUAACUUCAGGAAACUGGGGCUAAUACCGGAUAGGAGCUCCUGCUGCAUGGUGGGGGUUGGAAAGUUUCGGCGGUUGGGGAUGGACUCGCGGCUUAUCAGCUUGUUGGUGGGGUAGUGGCUUACCAAGGCUUUGACGGGUAGCCGGCCUGAGAGGGUGACCGGCCACAUUGGGACUGAGAUACGGCCCAGACUCUUACGGGAGGCAGCAGUGGGGAAUAUUGCACAAUGGGCGGAAGCCUGAUGCAGCAACGCCGCGUGCGGGAUGACGGCCUUCGGGUUGUAAACCGCUUUCGCCUGUGACGAAGCGUGAGUGACGGUAAUGGGUAAAGAAGCACCGGCUAACUACGUG
rnacentral:rRNA from 1 species